rnacentral:antisense_RNA from 2 species
UGUGGGAGCGAGCUUGCUCGCGAUGACUGACUUUCAGUCGACAUUUAUGUUGAAUGUCAGUUCGCAAUCGCGAGCAAGCUCGCUCCCACA